AUGACGCUGGCGGCAUGCUUACACAUGCAAGUCGAACGGCAGCACGGGAGCAAUCCUGGUGGCGAGUGGCGAACGGGUGAGUAAUAUAUCGGAACGUACCUUUCAGUGGGGGAUAACGUAGCGAAAGUUACGCUAAUACCGCAUAUUCUGUGAGCAGGAAAGCAGGGGAUCUUAGGACCUUGCGCUGAUUGAGCGGCCGAUAUCAGAUUAGCUAGUUGGUGAGGUAAAGGCUCACCAAGGCGACGAUCUGUAGCGGGUCUGAGAGGAUGAUCCGCCACACUGGAACUGAGACACGGUCCAGACUCCUACGGGAGGCAGCAGUGGGGAAUUUUGGACAAUGGGCGCAAGCCUGAUCCAGCCAUGCCGCGUGAGUGAAGAAGGCCUUCGGGUUGUAAAGCUCUUUCAGCCGGGAAGAAAACGCAUGGGUUAAUACCCUGUGUGGAUGACGGUACCGGAAUAAGAAGCACCGGCUAACUACGUGCCAGCAGCCGCGGUAAUACGUAGGGUGCGAGCGUUAAUCGGAAUUACUGGGCGUAAAGCGUGCGCAGGCGGUUUGUUAAGAUAGGCGUGAAAUUCCCCGGGCUCAAACCUGGGAACUGCGUUAUGACUGGCAGGCUAGAAGUAUGGCAGAGGGGGGUGGAAUUCCACGUGUAGCAGGUGAAAUGCGUAGAUUGUGGAGGAACACCGAUGGCGAAGGCAGCCCCCUGGGGUUAACCACUGGACGGCUUCAUGGCACGGAAAAGCGUUGGGGGGAGCCAAACCGGGGAUUUAGAUACCC
rnacentral:rRNA from 1 species